rnacentral:lncRNA from 1 species
ACUCGCUGAAACUCUGAGGUGUAACAAGGUCCCUGGACAGAGUGAGAAGUGAGGAUGGGCAAGCCUUCUCCCCAGCAGCACUUGUGCCCUCAAAAAUGUGAGAUGUAAGCAAAGAUGUCUUCUACUUUUGCCUCCCUCUUCUGUGCUGGUCUUUCAUUUCAUCCUUUUUCUGACUGCUCCCCACUCUACAUGCACACAAAUCAAAAUUUUCUUGCAGGAAAUCAUUUCAUAAAUUUGUUCUCAGCAAGGAAUACAUUAAUGGUAAACUUUUUAAAAUGGCUUAUUCCUCUUAACAGAAAUUUACCAAAGAAUAAAGUGCUUAGAUAAAGGAAUAAAUAUCUAAUUGUAAAAUUUCAUUUUCUUAGUAGGAAAAGGGUCUUAAGUAGGGGAGCAGAGAAGUUGAAUUCAAACCAACUAGUGGCCAUGCAAAGGGACUUUGGAACUAGUUGGACCCAGGCUCUAAAAAUUACUAACUGCGUGUCCUUGUACAAGUCACUUAACCUUCCUUGCUUUCACUGACAAUUUAAGAUAACUGAUUAAUCCGAGGUAAUGUACAUAAAUCCCUUUGAAGUGUGGCUCAGCAAACAAGGAAGGUACUUUGCAAACAUUAGAAUUAGAACCUACUUCCUUGCUUAUUCUGCUUAUGAAACAAGGCAGUGCUGACUCAAGAGUUUUCUGGUGUUAGGAUGAUCAGUGGUUUUCUCCCAACUCAAACCCACUGUGGCUAUUUGAGUGACAAAUGGAGAACUGUUUUCAUUGCCACACCACAUCUUGAGAACAAACUGUCUUCUUUACCUCUGUAUCCUCAGAGAUCUUGGUACAUAAAACACAUCAUAAUUAAACCAUCUCACUCAAUUCGUCCUCAUUGCUUCUCACCUUUUCUCGGCUACCUUCUACCUCAGGACUGCCAAGAUUUUAUCCCUACUUUGUGCUAUUUCUUUUCCUGCUUCAUUGCUGUCUUUCAAUGCCUGCAUCCUUCCCAAUCCCUUUUCUAUCUUUGACAGGUACAGCAUUGUCUCCUUUCCUCUAAAGCCUUAAUGUACAGGUUUGUGGGUAAUCCCAUAUUAAGUGCUGUUGCCAUAUUUUACUGAAAGUUCAACAAACUAGGGAGUGAUUGCUUGGGCCGGGUCAGAAGAGGUCCACUUUAUUGAUGGGGGCAUGAUAGUCCCUCCCCCAGUGAGGAGCUCUUGCAAGAACAGAUCCCUAUGAAGGGUGAACUCCCAGAGAAGUGCCUCAAGAACACUGAAAAUUGGACCCUCUUCAGGGAAUGUUAACAGAUGAAUUAUGCGAUGUGAAAAUUUCCAAUAGAUGUUGAGGCAGCUCUAAGUGAGGGGCUAACCAGCAGAGAAGGCUUUUCCUUUUCACCGUCUCAGGACAGCCAAACUGCCGCCGCCUUGAGGGGCGGUCAGGCAUCUUGCAGUUUCACACAUUCUAGUCUACUUCCGGCUUAUCCUGGCAAUUCCUUGUUGGAAUGCAAUAAGGUCAGGAAAAUGCCUAAACUCUUUUCAGUUGUUUACUGAAAACCGUUUGGGAUCAUUGAGGUGACAAGAAAGCCUGAGAGCAGGUCGUGAGAGGAUCCAGGUUCUGAGGUACUGAGUCCUGAGGUACUGAGUCCUGGUACUGAGGUGAGUACAGAAGCACCAUAGGGUGGGUAGAAAGGAAGUCACAGAGAGUGGAGCCUGAGGAGACAGACCACCUCUGCAAUUUUGCUGGUGGAAGACCUCACAUUCAUUGAAAAGAGAAGUAACAAAAAACCAAGGUGCAUUGUAAGCGUAUGUAGAAGUCAAGAGAACAGCAGAUUAACAUGGAGAAGGAACCAAUAGAAGAAGUCUAAAAUAAAUGGUUCUAUUUACUAAGACCCUCUCUUUUUAACUGGAAAGAAUAUGAUGACUAUUUCCCUGAAAUAGGGGUUUAAAAAGACACAGGUGGAAAGGUAUGAAGGGUGGGUAUAACUACGGUAUCUAUCUAGCUGGUAGGUAGAUACUGUAGUUACCUAGUAUCUAGCUGGGUGUUAUGGAUUAAAAGUUUGUGGUUCCCUGCUCCAUUCAUAUGGUGAAAUCCUAACUCUCAAUGUGAUUACAUUAGGGGGUAGGGUCUUUGGGAGGAAAUUAGGACAUGAGGGUAGAGCACUCAUGAUAGCAUUAAUACCUAAUGAGAAGAAAUAUGAGAGAAAUAAUCUCUUUUGGCCUUGUGAGGAUACAACCAGAAGAUGGCCAUUUGCAAAUCUGAAAGCAUGCCCUCACCAGACACCAAAUUGCCUACUGCCUUGAUAUUGGACUUUCCAGCCUCUAUAAUUGUGAGAAAUAAAUGUUUGUUGUGUGAGCCACCCGGUCUGUGGUGUUCUGUUAGAGCAACUCAAACUGGCUAAGACACCAGGGGUGGGCUUCAGAAGAUGAAAGCUGUCUGCAGCAUGUGGCUGAAAAUUGUAUCUCCAAAUGGCUUCUAGGAUGGAAGUCCACGUUCUAUGGGCCAGAGGUCCUAGUGGGAUUGGCCCCUCUGGGUCAGCUGAGACUAUCUCUCCUCUGCAAUGGUGGUGUCUUAGAGUUGCUCAUCUUGCCCUGGUCUGGGAUCAGCUAUCCAGCAAUUUGGAAAUAACCAUGACUUUAAUCUCUGCCAUAUUAAGCUUGGAGGGAACCAAGAACAGUUGUAAGGAAAUAGUUACCAGAGCCAUGGAGCAAGCCAGUCAAUGAAACAGCUGGGAAAAUAUGGGGGCAUAGAAUUCUGGGGAGCUUGCUUUUCUGUUGCUUAACUUCAAAAUGAGAAAAACCUGGAGCUUAAAUGCUGCCAAAACUUGGAAGCAACCAAGAUGUCCUUCAGUAGGCCAAUGGACAAACAAAUUGUGAUUCAUCCAUACAAUAGAAUAUUAUACAGCAGCAAAAAGAAAUGAGCUAUCAAGCCACAAAAAGACAUGGAGGAGGCUUAAAUGCAUAUUUCUAAGUGAGAGAAGCCAAUCUGAAGAUGCUACAUAUUGUAUAACUGUAUGUCCCAACCAUAUGACAUUCUGGAAAAGGCAAAAUUAUGAAGACAAUAAAAAGAUCAGUGAUUGCCAGAUAGUCAGGUGGAGGGAGGGAGGAUGGAAGGGAUAAAUUGGUGGAGCACAGGCGAUGUUUAGAGCAGUGAACCUAUUCUGUUUGUUACUGUAAUGGUGGAUGUAUUCUAUUAUAUGUUUGUCAAAAUCCAUAGAAUGUAUAACAGAGAGAGAGUAAACCUUAAUGUAAACUAUAGACUGUAGUUAAUAAUAAUGUAUCAAUAUUGCUCAUCUAUUAUAAGACACAUAUCACACUAAUACAAUAUGUUAAAAAUAGGGGAAUCUGUGGGGAAGGAGAUGAGGAAAUGGGGAGGAGGUGGGGCUAUGUGGGAACUCUGUAUUU